CGAUGAGGUAGAGGUGCAGGACAUAUCAGUAUCGGGAACGAGCGUGACAGCGAAGAGCCCCCGGGAAAGGAUGCCCUGCCGAAGUAUGGACGGAUCGUCAUACCUUCCAUGCUGGUACAUGUUUGAAUAAAAGAUGUACUGUCAUGCAUGUUACAUGCAUGGUGCGCUACUGAUCGC
rnacentral:ncRNA from 1 species